ensembl:lncRNA PHF1 PHD finger protein 1
CACCCUCCCCCCCAACCGGUCCGUCCCUCCCCUCCCUCCCUCCCCCCCGCCGCCUCCUCCUCCUGCCGCUGCCGCUGCUUUGGCUGCUGCGUCAUACGCCCCAGAGCCGCCGGGACGGAGGGGCUGGGCCUGGGGACCCCCCGGCCUCCGCCUGCACGCCCCCCCACGCCCGGACGUGCCCUCUCCGCGCGGGGGACUCGCCUAGGUCUCCUACGUCUGCCCCUGCCCGGCUCCCGGCGGCCCCAGCUGUCACCG